rnacentral:rRNA from 1 species
GCGAGUGGCGAACGGGUGAGUAAUAUAUCGGAACGUGCCCAGUCGUGGGGGAUAACGUAGAGAAAUUUACGCUAAUACCGCAUACGAUCUAAGGAUGAAAGCGGGGGACCGUAAGGCCUCGCGCGAUUGGAGCGGCUGAUAUCAGAUUAGGUUGUUGGUGAGGUAAAAGCUCACCAAGCCGACGAUCUGUAGCUGGUUUGAGAGAACGACCAGCCACACUGGGACUGAGACACGGCCCAGACUCCUACGGGAGGCAGCAGUGGGGAAUUUUGGACAAUGGGCGAAAGCCUGAUCCAGCCAUGCCGCGUGCAGGACUAAGGCCCUAUGGGUCGUAAACUGCUUUUGAACGGGAAGAAAUGUAUCUACGUGUAGAUAUUUGACGGUACCGUUAGAAUAAGGAUCGGCUAACUUCGUGCCAGCAGCCGCGGUAAUACGAAGGAUCCAAGCGUUGUCCGGAUUUACUGGGUUUAAAGGGUGCGUAGGCGG